CCAAAUUUAACAGGAUGUCUUUUACUUUUAUUUGCUACCCUACCCCUACUUCCAUCUCCAAGUAUAGUUUCCUUGAUGGCAAAACAUGUUUCUCACUGGUCUCUGAAUCCCUGAAACUAGCCCAGUGCACGACAGUUCAUGCUCGGUUAAUAUGAAGAGAAGGCAACUUAUCUGGCUGCAGCGCUGAGAAUGGUUGGAGGGAGUUGUGACUGGAGACAGUGAGACCAGGAGGGAAGGUGGAACUAAGGAUCCCGAAUCCGUUUGGAGGCAGAGAGGGGCCAACAGGGUGUUUGAAGGGAGCAAAGGCAUCGAAAUUUUUGGAGCAUCUAGAACUGGGGCAGUGAAUGCAGAAGAGUGGGAGCAC
rnacentral:lncRNA from 1 species